AGCGCAGGCGGUUUUGUAAGACAGAGGUGAAAUCCCCGGGCUCAACCUGGGAACUGCCUUUGUGACUGCAAGGCUAGAGUACGGCAGAGGGGGAUGGAAUUCCGCGUGUAGCAGUGAAAUGCGUAGAUAUGCGGAGGAACACCGAUGGCGAAGGCAAUCCCCUGGGCCUGUACUGACGCUCAUGCACGAAAGCGUGGGAGCAAACA
rnacentral:rRNA from 1 species